rnacentral:rRNA from 1 species
GAACGCUGGCGGCAGGCUUAACACAUGCAAGUCGAACGCCCCGCAAGGGGAGUGGCAGACGGGUGAGUAACGCGUGGGAAUCUACCUAGUUCUACGGAACAACAGUUGGAAACGACUGCUAAUACCGUAUACGCCCUACGGGGGAAAGAUUUAUCGGAAUUAGAUGAGCCCGCGUAAGAUUAGCUAGUUGGUGGGGUAAUGGCCUACCAAGGCGACGAUCUUUAGCUGGUCUGAGAGGAUGAUCAGCCACACUGGGACUGAGACACGGCCCAGACUCCUACGGGAGGCAGCAGUGGGGAAUAUUGGACAAUGGGCGCAAGCCUGAUCCAGCCAUGCCGCGUGAGUGAUGAAGGCCUUAGGGUUGUAAAGCUCUUUCAGUGGGGAAGAUAAUGACGGUACCCACAGAAGAAGCCCCGACUAACUUCGUGCCAGCAGCCGCGGUAAUACGAAGGGGGCUAGCGUUGUUCGGAUUUACUGGGCGUAAAGCGCACGUAGGCGGAUUGGUCAGUUAGGGGUGAAAUCCUGGAGCUCAACUCCAGAACUGCCUUUAAUACUGCCAGUCUCGAGUCCGGAAGAGGUAAGUGGAACUCCUAGUGUAGAGGUGGAAUUCGUAGAUAUUAGGAAGAACACCAGUGGCGAAGGCGGCUUACUGGUCCGGUACUGACGCUGAGGAGCGAAAGCGUGGGGAGCGAACAGGAUUAGAUACCCUGGUAGUCCACGCCGUAAACGUUGGGAACUAGAUGUGGGGACCAUUCCACGGUCUCCGUGUCGCAGCUAACGCAUUAAGUUCCCCGCCUGGGGAGUACGGCCGCAAGGCUAAAACUCAAAGGAAUUGACGGGGGCCCGCACAAGCGGCGGAGCAUGCGGAUUAAUUCGAUGCAACGCGAAGAACCUUACCAAGGCUUGACAUAUACGAGAACGGGCCAGAAAUGGUCAACUCUUUGGACACUCGUAAACAGGUGGUGCAUGGUUGUCGUCAGCUCGUGUCGUGAGAUGUUGGGUUAAGUCCCGCAACGAGCGCAACCCUCGUUCUAUGUUGCCAGCACGUAAUGGUGGGAACUCAUAGGAGACUGCCGGGGUCAACUCGGAGGAAGGUGGGGAUGACGUCAAAUCAUCAUGCCCCUUAUGUCUUGGGCUUCACGCAUGCUACAAUGGCCGGUACAAAGGGCUGCAAUACCGUAAGGUGGAGCGAAUCCCAAAAAGCCGGUCUCAGUUCGGAUUGAGGUCUGCAACUCGACCCCAUGAAGUCGGAGUCGCUAGUAAUCGUGGAUCAGCAACGCCGCGGUGAAUACGUUCCCGGGCCUUGUACACACCGCCCGUCAAGUCAUGAAAGUCGGUAACACCCGAAGCCAGUGGCCCAACCGUAAGGAGGGAGCUGUCGAAGGUGGGAUCGGUGAUUAGGACUAAGUCGUAACAAGGUA